AUGGAUGGAGGGUCAAUUAAUAAUAAUAGAGGUAGGCCUAUGAAAUAUGGCCCAAAUGGGCCGGUAACUGGUGUGGCGUUAUCGCCUUUGCCGAUCUCGUCUUCAGUAGAGGCUGUCCGAGGAACAAAUUGGUGGUUUGAAAGAGUUUUUCAAGAAGUGAUUCUGAAAUAUGUUCUGCAUAUAUGGCUGAGGUGUGAUCUCUUGUGGUCUGAUCUCGAUGAUCGUUGUGGUUUAGGAAUAUCUCCACGCAGUGCUAGAUAUACAUUCGGACAAGAUAUAACCACUCAGUUAAAUCAUACAAAUGGUCUCAUUGAUAUCUAG